rnacentral:rRNA from 1 species
UAAUACGAAGGGGGCAAGCGUUGUUCGGAAUUACUGGGCGUAAAGGGCGCGUAGGCGGCUUAUCAAGUCAGGCGUGAAAUUCCCGGGCUCAACCUGGGGGCUGCGCUUGAUACUGAUGAGCUUGAAUGCGGGAGAGGAUAGUGGAAUUCCCAGUGUAGAGGUGAAAUUCGUAGAUAUUGGGAAGAACACCGGUGGCGAAGGCGGCUAUCUGGCCCGUAAUUGACGCUGAGGCGCGAAAGCGUGGGGAGCAAACAGGAUUAGAUACCCUGGUAGUCCACGCCGUAAACGAUGGGUACUAGGUGCCUGGGGGAGCGACCCUCUGGGUGCCGGCGCUAACGCAGGAAGUACCCCGCCUGGGGAGUACGACCGCAAGGUUG